GCUUGGUAUAGACAGAGAAUAUUUGAUAUUGAUAUUUAAUGUUUGCUCCAAGUGGCCUUUCCUGUCAUAUAUUACAUAGAGUAAUCACUACUGCUGUAUGGACCAAUAGCUACAUCACCUGUAACGUGCUCUUGUGUUUUUAAAGCUCAUCUGAAUAGUAAGAUUCAUUUGAUUGCUUGUUCUGCUAAAAGCUGUUGUCUGACCUGAGACCUGACAGCAAGUGAUUAAGGAGCAUCAAAUAUAAAUCAAAUACUGCAUUCUUUGAUCCAGUGUGCGCUCACUAGCUGCCUGUCUGGUCUUUAAGUUGUACCGCCAGCUGACUGCUGAGAACAAGAAGUUCAAUCAUAAACUAUGGCACCACUAGUGAAAAAAAG
ensembl:lncRNA